rnacentral:rRNA from 1 species
CCUACGGGAGGCAGCAGUGAGGAAUAUUGGUCAAUGGACGAAAGCCUGAACCAGCCAAGUCGCGUGAAGGAUGACGGCUCUAUGAGUUGUAAACUUCUUUUGUAUGGGGAUAAACUGAGGCACGUGUUCCUUUUUGUAUGUACCAUAUGAAUAAGCAUCGGCUAACUCCGUGCCAGCAGCCGCGGUAAUACGGAGGAUGCGAGCGUUAUACGGAUUUAUUGGGUUUAAAGGGUGCGUAGGUGGUGAAUUAAGUCAGCGGUGAAAUGUGGUGGCUUAACGAGAAGAUUGCCGUUGAAACUGGUGGACUGGAGUAGAUUUGAGGUAGGCGGAAUGCGUGGUGGAGUGGUGAAAUGCAGAGAGAUGACGCAGAACUCAGAUUGCGAAGGCAGCAUACUAAAGGAUAACUGACACUGAAGCACGAAAGCGUGGGGAUCAAACAGGAGUAGAUACCCGUGUAGGC